rnacentral:rRNA from 1 species
CUACGGGCGGCUGCAGUUAGGAAUAUUCUACAAUGCGCGCAAGCGUGAUAGAUUGAGCCAGAGUGUUUUUCAAAUGAAAAGCUUUUGUGAAAUGUAAAAAGUUUCGCGAAUAAGGACUGGGUAAGACUAGUGCCAGUCGCCGCGGUAAUACUAGCGGUCCAAGUCGCAGCCAUUUUUAUUGGGUCUAAAACAUCCGUAGCUUGCUUAAUAAGUUCCUUGUGAAAUUUUAUCUCUCAAAGAUAGAGCGUGCAAGAAAUACUGUUAAGCUAGAGACUGGAAGACGUAACGAGUACGUUCGGAGUAGCGGUAAAAUGUGUUAAUCCUGGACGGACUAACAAUAGCGAAGGCACGUUACGAGGACAGUUCUGACAGUAAGGGAUGAAGGCUAGGGGCGCAAAACGGAUUAGAUACCCCCGUAGUC